rnacentral:rRNA from 1 species
AUUGAACGCUGGCGGUAUGCUUUACACAUGCAAGUCGAACGGCAGCACGGACUUCGGUCUGGUGGCGAGUGGCGAACGGGUGAGUAAUACAUCGGAACGUGCCCCGUUGUGGGGGAUAACUACUCGAAAGAGUAGCUAAUACCGCAUGAGAACUGAGGUUGAAAGCAGGGGAUCGCAAGACCUUGCGCAACUGGAGCGGCCGAUGGCAGCUUAGGUAGUUGGUGGGAUAAAAGCUUACCAAGCCGACGAUCUGUAGCUGGUCUGAGAGGACGACCAGCCACACUGGGACUGAGACACGGCCCAGACUCCUACGGGAGGCAGCAGUGGGGAGUUUUGGACAAUGGGCGAAAGCCUGAUCCAGCAAUGCCGCGUGCAGGAUGAAGGCCUUCGGGUUGUAAACUGCUUUUGUACGGAACGAAAAGCUUCGGGUUAAUACCCUGGAGUCAUGACGGUACCGUAAGAAUAAGCACCGGCUAACUACGUGCCAGCCGCCGCAGUAACAC